rnacentral:rRNA from 1 species
AUACGGAGGGUGCGAGCGUUAAUCGGAAUUACUGGGCGUAAAGCGUGCGUAGGCGGUUUGCUAAGUCAGAUGUGAAAGCCCCGGGCUUAACCUGGGAACUGCAUUUGAUACUGGCAGACUAGAGUAUGAUAGAGGGGGGUAGAGUUCCUGGUGUAGCGGUGAAAUGCGUAGAUAUCUGGAGGAAUACCAGUGGCGAAGGCGGCCCCCUGGAUCAAUACUGACGCUGAGGUACGAAAGCGUGGGGAGCGAACAGGAUUAGAAACCCCUGUAGUCC